rnacentral:lncRNA from 1 species
CCAUGGCAACUUUGUGACUGCAUCUCUCCCCAGCUCCUGCAGUCCAGAGUGGGCAAGGAAAGCACUCAUGCCUAGCAAGCUCCCCUGCCUGGCGUGGAUGUCACGUACAGGAUCUCUUAGGAUACAUCUUUAAUUACUGUGUUCUCUUAAUUACUCCUUUUGAUUUCCCUGACUAUAGCGUGAAGAUGAAGGGAAGACAAGGUCUUCAGUCAUGACAGAAGCAAAAAUUUCACUGCUGUCUGCUCUGAGGGAUGCACCCCAAAAAAAGAGCUGUCACGAUAGCUGGAGAAAAGAAGGCACUUACAUACCAAGCACUCAUCAACUGGCAUCCCUUAGCUGCUUAAUACUGCUGUCUGCACAAGAAGAAAAAAAUCAUAGUACCAGACAACGUAAUAGUAGGAGGAGGCGAUUCUCUAAAGAGAGUGAAGGCAAACUUAUGAGGAGCGUAGGGCUCAUCUCGCCUGGUGGUGUACACAGAGCUGGAGCCUGCACUGUACCUGAUGUGACAACUCAAGGAAAUGCACCCAAGGGAAAAUUACAGCACGUGGCAUUCACCUUGGUUCAGUUCUGUAGUGCUUUUUGUACGUCCCCCUGACAGUGGAUGUUAAGAUACAGCCAAACCUUGCUCGCUCUGCCCUCCCUGUGCCAUCUGCUCGUGAACUGAGGAGCUGGCAGCCCCGCAGGCAACGCUCCCACCACCUGCUCCCGCUGAGCCUUCCUCCCUCAGCAGCUCUCCCCCUCACUGUUCCACCAGUGCACACAGGAUUCAUUAGGAACUGGCUGCAGAGUGCUGCCAUCGCAGCGAUCCCCCCUCCUGCCCAUCUCCCCGCUGUAGGCCUCAGGUCUGAGGCAUGGCAUGGCAAGCAGCUACAGGCUAUCCUAUCCAACAGCAGGGCUCCCUUCCCUUCCCUUCCCUUCCCUUCCCUUCCCUUCCCUUCCCUUCCCUUCCCUUCCCUUCCCUUCCCUUCCCUUCCCUAGCUCCCGUCCUGCUGUCAGCCAGGCCCCAUUCCUUGAGGAUGGGACCAACUUCAAAGUUUUCAAAGACUUCAGACAAGGGAGAAAACAUUUUUUAAAAAGUAUCUUUAGAAUCUCUUCAAAACACCACAAAUAAUCACUGUUAAAUACGCAGAUGGGAAACUUGGCCUUCCUCCUCUCGCUGACAAACACCAGGCCCGGCCAGGGCUCUGCAACCCAUCACUAAGCUGAACUUCUUCUGCAAGGAGGCUACAUUUUGAGAUACACAAAGCACUAUCAAAGACCAAGGAUAAGCUAAAGCCGUUCAACCACCUCAUGUCCUUUUCCCUGUUCCUGACAAGGGUGCGGAUGGCCGGUGGCAGGGCUGCACUGGGAUAACUGCUUCUUUUUGCCAGCUGUGCCACACAGUUGCCUUUGUCACUUUGUCCUCGUGGAUCAGAAAACACGGCUGUGUUUCUACUGCUAGGCCCAGCAAGAAUGUUUAAACUAAGCAGCGGAUGUGAUAUUUAGUUGAAAUAAAGAAAAAAACAACAACA